GGUUGACCUCGGAUCAGGUAGGGAUACCCGCUGAACUUAAGCAUAUCAAUAAGCGGAGGAAAAGAAACCAACAGGGAUUGCCCUAGUAACGGCGAGUGAAGCGGCAAGAGCUCAAAUUUGAAAGCUGGCUCCUUCGGGGUCCGCAUUGUAAUUUGCAGAGGAUGCUUCGGGAGUGGCCCCUGUCUAAGUGCCCUGGAACGGGCCGUCAUAGAGGGUGAA
rnacentral:rRNA from 1 species